AUGGACUGUGGGAAGCUCACUCAGAAAGCAAGACAGAUUCUCUGUUCAAUGUUCCUUCUCUGUGGCUUUGUCUCCAUCUCUGUCUCUGACCCUUUGUCUAUCUCUGUCUCUGUCUGUCUGUCUGUCUGUCUGUCUGUCUCUCUCUCUCUCUCUCUCUGUCUCUCUGACUCUCUGAGUCUCUGUAUCUCUCUAUCUCUGGUUCUUCCUGUCUGUUUCUCUCCUCUCUGUCUCUCCUUUCUUUUUUGCUCUUCCUUCCUUCCUUCCUUCCUUUCUUCCUUCCUUCCUUCCUUUCUUUCUUUCUUUCUUUCUUUCAUUCCUUCCUUCCUUCCUUCUCCAUCCAAAAUGCCAUUCUGCUCCGCAUUAUCUCA
rnacentral:lncRNA from 1 species